CUUAAGGCAAUGAGCUGGCAGAAUCUAAUGAUCCCACUGGGUAAAAUGCUUACCAGCAUUUCAUUCAUCUUCAUGUUUUGAGUUCAAAUUCUGCCAAGGUUGAGUUUGCCUUUCAUUUUCUCAGGGUUGAUAAAAUACCACUUGAGUAUUGGAGUCAAUGUAAUCAACUUACCUCUUCCCCUGAAACUGCUGGCCUUGUAAAACCAUUAUUGAUUUCUAAACUUAGGCACAUGCCCCCAAACUUGAGUAAGCAGACAAUUAAUUAAAUAACACUAGUACUGGAACUAAUCAAUUCCAGGUGGAUGAAAAGCAAAGCUGAUCAUGAUAUAGUUUUUUGAACUCAGGACAUAAAGACACUUUACCAAAUACCACAAGGCAUUUAGCAAACUAAUCUACUGAUUCUUUCAUUCCACUUGAUAUGUCACCAGAGGGAGAGCAACAGAUGGCAGAAUUUUGUAGUAACAUCCUCCCACCAGUCAUAAGUCCCUGCAAAGGUAAUGGACACUGCUUUUCAUAUUCCGAGUCGGUCAAUAAUGACACAAACUUUGUGAUUUAGCUUCAAGUCUUAUUUAAAGUCAUUUUACUCCACUUUCACAACUAAAAUCCUAAAGAAUGGUAUGAAUUUCAUGCUUUUCAAUUAAACUAUCUCUAUAAAAGAUAUUACACUUUAUUCAUGUUAGUAAGGAACCAAUAUCUUCAUUUGAGUGAACAAACUCGAAAGAACAACAAACUGUGUUGUUUCUUGUAUUUUCUUCAAACUGUAGUAGUAGUGGUAGUAGUAGUAGUAGUAGUAGUAGUAGUAGUAGUAGUAGUGAUUAUUAUUGUUUAGCUCCAUGUCAACCCUGACCAAGUAGACUUAUUAUGAUCAGUGACACUCCAACUAUGACCAAACUGUGUAAGUCCACAUUAUUUAGUAUGUCCUUCCUAUUUAAAGACAGCUAGAGAGAUUUGGCUUCUAUUUAUAGCAGGUCAAGCAAUGUCACAGAAGCUCCCCUUGUUGGUUUCUCUAGUAAUGGUUACAGUAAUAGAUGUUGGGGUGGUCACAGCAAUAAAUUUAUUGAUGGCAAUAUUGUUAAAGUUAAGGUGGUAAUAGUGGCAGUGGCGGCAGUAGUGGUGGUGGUGGUGGUGGUAGUGGUAGUAUUAGUAGUAGUAGUAGUAGUAGCUGGUUAUGGUAAUGGUUACCAUGAAAGAUGUAUUGGUGAGAGAUGGUGGUAGCAGCAAUGUUAUUUGAAGUAUUUGUAAUACUUGUGGUUGUAGUAUGGGUGAUACUAUUAGUAAUAUUGUUGGUGUUUGCGAUAGUAGUAGUAGUACUACCACUCUUAAUAUACACCACCACUGCCUCUGCUAGGGAUACUACUCUUCCUUUGCUUUUUGCCUUUUACUUUCACCUUCUACUGGUGGUAUUUUCCAUGUAUUGAGAUAGUUUGUACCAAAAAAUGACAAAUGGAUGGAUUGAUACAUUAUUUACGGAUAUUUGUCCUCAUCAUGUUUGUUGUUAACACGUUUCGGCUGAUAUACCCUCCAGCCUUCAUCAGGUGUCUUGGGGAAAUUUCGAACCUGGGUUCUCAUUCCUAAGGUAUUUUUCAAUGUUGUUGUUAUUAUUAUUAUUAUUAUUAUUAUUAUUAUUAUUCAGUUCACUGCCUGGAAUUGCACUCGGAAUCUUGGGGUUAGUAAUAAUAAUAAUAAUAAUAACAUCGAAAAAUACCUUAGGAAAUUUCCCCAAGACACCUGAUGAAGGCUGGAGUGUAUAUCAGCCAAAAUGUUGUAUUAAUAACAAACAAGAUCAGGACAAAUAGCCAUCAAAUGUAAAUAAUGUACGUAAUUCCUCAUCUCUUAAAUAUAAGAUGGAUUGAUAGUUCAAAGAUCCUGUGGUGGUGGUGAUGGUGAUAGCGAUGAUGAUAGUACUAUUUUUGGUGAGGAUGGUGUUGGUGAUGUAUUGAUUUUGUCUUGUAUUGAUAAACAAGCAGCCGAUUCAUGGCAACGCUGACUUGAGAGAUCCAAUCACAUCAUUGGUGUGGGAACAUAGCAGCAGACUGAUAGAAUAAAAUUUGAAAUAAUUAGAAAUACAUUCUAACAAAAUACUUUUUCACGAAUUUAAUUAUCUUCUCCCUCCUCUAUUUACCAGUUCUAAUAUUUUGUUCUUCAUUUUCUUUUUCCUUUUUUCAUGAUUUUUCUAAUAUUUCUAUUGUUUUAAUACCACAUUUCCCACCAUUGCUGCCAUUUUCACUUUUUUUUUUUUGAUUUAAUGUCAUUGAGUUUUAAAACGUUUACUAUAAUUGUUAUCCUUGCUGACUAUGAUGGGCGUCUCUGACUCUCUCUCUCUGUGUAUCACUCUCCCUCCCUCUCUCUCUCUCUCUCUCUCUCUCUCUCUGUAUCUCUAUCUCUUUUUCUCUCCCCCUCCGUCUUUCUUUCAAAAUCAGUCUAUCUGAGAAAUGUGACACAGUACAGCAAGGAAACUUGGGUAGUAAAUUCAUAGAAUUUAUAACAGCUGGAGUGAAGGAAUAGAUUUGAGUCUAUGCUACAUUGAUAUAAAAGAAGAACCAUACACGAGUUGGUAGAUGGGUUGAACAUUGCUUACAGUCGAAAGAAUGGCUAUAAAUUCACCAACACUUUGGAGUUAUAAUUCUGAAGAGGGUAGCACCAUAAACCACUGCUUGAAUUUGAUAUGUGAAUGGUACCUUUGUUCUUAUGGCACUACCUGGAGGAUAUUCAUUAUGACCCACUAGAUUAUAUGAACUCUACUUAAAUCUCAUUUCUUCCUAUUAUGUGAAAAGAAACAAGUUAUCAGAUGCCCACAAUAUCAGUAUGACUGAAGUGGCUUACAGAACAAGGCCUUACCAAGGAUUGAACAGUUUGCAUCCUAACAUCAAUAUUUUAUAUAUUUCUGACCAAGACACGUAAGAUUCAACAGCUGACUUCAUCAAGUUAUUUAGCCCAGGCUGGUCAUAACUGAGACCAAAGUCAUUCCAAUAAUGACCAUCUCAUCCUCUCAAACAUUAUAUACCUCAGACUACAUUUUCUAAUGUGUUCUGCCUUUUCAAGAUGGUAGGAAAUUUGACUAUUAUUUCUAGCAGGCUCGACCAAGCUUUAAGUAAUCAUAUGAGGUUUGAUUCAUUACUUUGAGUUGUAAUAAUCAUGUAAAAGGUGGCGAGCUGGCAGAAUUGUUAGUGUACCAGCCAAAAUACUUAGUGGCAUUUGGUUCAUCUUUAUGUUCUGAGUUCAAAUUCCACCAAGGUCAACUUUUCCUUUCAUCCUUUUGGGGUCAAUAAAAUAAGUACCACUUGAGCACUGGGGUUGAUGUAAUCAACUUAACCCUUCUCCUGAAAUUGCUGGCCUUGUGCCAAAAUUUGAAGCCAAUAAUCAUGUAAAAUUCAAUUUCUCUAAUAAGAAAAGCUGCCUUUUCCAAGGGGGAAAUAUAUUUUUCUUUCAUUUAAUUUUGUAAAAACUGGAUGGGGAAAAGAGCUAGCACUAUAGAUUCUUGUGGAUAACUAUAAGAGUUAAACAAACUACAUUAUAACAUUACACACUUUUUAAAAAUAAUUGAUAAAGGAAAAAGAGAUACAUUGCUGAUGGUCAAAACAAAAGUUUCUCAAAGUAACUGCAUCUGAUCAGACAAGAAACAACUUGGUGAAGAAUUGCAAAACAUGUAUGAUGUGAAAAUGGCCAUCACAUAACCACAUACCAGUAUAGAAUGAAGUGUGUAUAACAGCAAAAAAGAAAAAAAACAAUUAAGGAAAAUCAAAGAAGUGGUGUAUAUAAUUGUAAAAAAAAAUCACUAUCUAAAGCCAGAGCAGAUAUUACAGAUAUUCAUUAUAACUAAUGAAUUUGCUACAGAAUUUUAUAGUUUACAUUAAUAUGUUUUGUUGUUAUUUUUUCAGAAAAAUAACAAGCAUUUGUAUUUUUUCUUAAUCUCAUAAAAUUUCUUAUUCUUAUGUACCUUCAGUUCUUUAUUUAUUGAAACCAAUUGGUCAAACAAUUUAUGACAUGCCUAGUGCACUGCACUCUCUCUUAUAUUUGAUAUGCAUAGCCAUGAUAAUUUCAACAGUUGCUAUGCAAAACAUCCCGUAGGUUAAUAUUGAUCAGAGAAUACAAUGCAGAAGUCUGUUAAUGGUAUAAAAAUGUUGCUGUAGAAUUGCUCUGGUUGAUUUUUUUUUUAAUCAUUUUCAUAUUUACCAACAUUUAUACGGAAUAUAUUAUACUCAAAGAGCAAAUACAAUGACACAGCAGUCUCCUCACAAAACACUGGAAUGGCCUUUCUGCAGAUCAUCUGUUGUUUACCUUGAUUGACAUAUUCAGCCAUCAAGUAAACAGUAGUUGUGCUGUCAGUGAUUUCCUUUGAUUCACAGUCAAUCAUAUCUCUAAUUGUCUUCACACUGUCCAGCUAUUCUAAGUUUAAACAGUCUUUAAGCCCUAUAAAUGAUUUUAUUUAUGUAGAAUUAUACAGUGUUUCUUUCUCCAUGAGAGAGUGACAGUAUACAGCAUAUGAAAGAAGAUAGGCUACAUGAUAAUGGCAUAUGAAAUAUAGAGAACCUGUAGAGAGAGAUGAGAAAUAAAGUAUGAUUGAGAGGAUUACAAUAUUGUGAUAAGAGGUAGCAUGCAAGUGAGGUGAGGGCGGUAUCAUUAUGUAUGCAGAAGGGGAUAAGUACAUUUGUGAAGGGUUGGGGAGUUCUAGGUGUAAAAGUGACACUGACAGAAGUAUACCCACCACAGGGAAGAUGAUGGUUUAUUGUCUUAUGUUUCUGGAACAUAUGCUCAUAAUUACAGAUGAUAUACGGAUUAUGUGAUAGAUAUGACAUGUAAAAUCCUACUGGUGAAAGGUAUUAGCUGUUUCCAAAAGAACAUCAUAUUUCAGAAUGUUGGAUAUCACAGAUGAAAUAACAAAUGAUCAUAAGUGGCAACAUCCUCUUCCCUAGAUUCAUCCAACAUAUGGAAACAUGCAAAAGUAGACAUUGAAAUUAUCAGGAUUAUAUCCUUCUAUCUCUUUUUCUCUUUUACUUGUUUCAGUCAUUUGACUGUGGUCAUGCUGGAUCACCGCCUUUAGUCAAGCAAAUCGACCCCAGGACUUAUUCUUUGUAAGCCUAGUACUUAUUCUAUCGGUCUCUUUUGCCAGACUGCUAAGUUAUGGGGACAUAAACACACCAGCAUCGGUUGUCAAGCAAUGUUGGGGGGGGGGGGGACAAACACAGACACACAAACACACACACACACAUAUGUAUAUAUAUACAUAUAAACAACAGGCUUCUUUCAGUUUCUGUCUACCAAAUCCACUCACAAGGCUUUGAUCAGCCCAAGGCUAUAGUAGAAGACACUUGCCCAAGGUGCCACGCAGUGGGACUGAACCCGGAACUAUGUGGUUGGUAAGCAAGCUACUUACCACACAGCUAAUCCUAUGCCUAUAGGAAUUGAACAUGGAGCCAUGAGAUUUUGAAGCAAACACUUUACCACACAGCCAUGCAUUGCCUUCAUAUAAAAAAAAAAAAACAUUAACUUUAUGACUUAAAUUCCUCAUCAUGUUAGCAUUCAUUUUUUGUCUUUUUCACAAUUCUUGUGAUAGGUGGCAAAAGCAGCAUAAUUUUUCUGUGCAGUCACUCAUACUCAAAAGUAAUCUCAUCGUUUCUUCCAAAAUGUUUUCUUCUUUAGUUCUACUUCUACCACAGUUACCUUUUAACAUUUACUUACUAAACAUUUUUUACUCAGCUUGUACCAUUCAGUCACAUUACAUAACACCUUUUCUCUUUAGGGCCCUUCUACUUUUCCCUUUUCUGUCUUUUUGUGUUAUAUUCUGUCUACUGUACAUGCAGUUUUGGCAUUCAUUAGUCUUUACUUGACUUAUUUCUGCUUUCUGUCUCCACUUUUACCCUAAACAAUAAGCUCAGCAUUAUUUUAUUAUUAUAUUACCAUUAAAUAAUAACCAGACAUUUUCUGGAUUUCUAUGAAAUGAAGAGAAAUGAAUUAACCUUUCAUGAAGAUUAAAAUUGCUCUUUUGAUAGUCCAUAGGUGUGUAAAUUCCUCUCUGGUUGCUUAACUAAGUUCCUUCCAACAGAUAAAGUAAUGCCACUUCCCAGAUGACCCUAAGAUUUUGUGCUGUCUGGUUCUGACUAGUAUUUGGGUCUUUGCUGUCUUGAUUUUGCAGGUUUUUACUCAUGGCCAAUACUCUAAAUUUCAUUCUUUUCAUGCAUUUCUUCAGCAAAUUCUAUAGUAAAAGCCAAGUCAUUAACAUAAAGGCGGUGCUCCAGCAUGGCUGCAGCCAAAUGACUGAAACAAGUAAAAGAAUAAAAGAGUAUAUGAAAAUUGACAGGGACAUAUUCUGAAUCCUGUAUCAUUAUUUAUAUCCUUUUUACCACAUUAUUGGUUAUAGAUUUCCACUGAGCCAAUUGUUGUAUUUCUAAUGGCAACAGUAACAAGGAAGUAACUGUACAACUUGGGCAGAACAAAUACCAAGAGUUAUUUUUGCUCAAAAACUGCAAUUUCUCAAUUUCCUUGAUAGAUGUUUGCACCUUGUACUUUACACACACAUCACACUUCAGUAAAUCUUCACAUUGUUGCAGUCAGACAUAGCUGUGUGGUUUAAAAUGUCCUCUUCACAACUACCUGGUUUCAAGUUCAGUCCCACUUUGCAGCACCUUGAUCAAAUGCCUUCUACAAGAACACUGGCUGACCAAUGCCUCAUGAUUGAAUUUUGUAGAUAGAAACUGUUACAAAGACUGUUGCAUGUGUGUGUCUGUGUCUGUGUGCAUAAAUAUUGGUACUCUGUAACUUUAUUUGUCAGAGCUUAAGAAAAACGGCAAUAUAAUGCUUACAUCCUUUGUUGGCAUUACAACAGGUUGCUUUACUGUUGUUAACCCUUAUUUGAAAAACAAUAGUUAGCAACAGAAAGAGCAUCUGGGUAUAAAAUCCUGCCUCAGAUAAGUCCCUUUCCAACUCAUGCUAGCCUGGAAAAAAGAAAAUAAAUGAAUGAAUAUAUGAUGGGCUUAUAUGCAGUCUCCAUUUACCAAAUUUCACUUGCAAGUCGUUCAUCAACUUGAACCUGAAUGCCAUGCAGUGGGAUUGAACAAGGAGUCAUAUAAUCAUGAAAGGAUCUUAGCAACACAACUAAUGCCACAAAGAAUAUAACGAAAGGAAGAAGAUUAAAAACAGUUUUAACCCUUUAACAUUUAAACCAGCCAUAUCAGGCCAAAGUAAUCUACCUGUUUUAUAUUCAAGCUGGCUAGAUUUGACCUCUCACACCAACCCUACAAUGUCAUUCUAAAAAUUAACAGUUAUGUACAAAAUAAUGCAUGAUUAAUUCAAAACAGCGUGAAUAAAAAAACAUUACAUUUGAUAAAGUAAUCUGAAUGCUAAACGGUUAAUCCUAAAUUUGCUACCCUAAAUCACUUUCAUAAUCCAUUUAUCCAUCCCUAGUCUUUUUGUUACCUAUCAGAUUAACAGGUGUUAUAGGCCUUUUAUACUUUGUAAAAGUGAACAGGCUAAUGGGAUGAAGUAUUUCACCAUCUGCUCAAAAGCAUUUUGAAAAGAAAUUAUCAAAAAUGGGAAUUGAAAGAUUCUCAUGGAACACAGCUCAACAAGUCUACAUCAUUACAGCAAUGUUCUUAAGAAAGAAGAGAAAGUCAUUAUAACGUUUAUUUGUUUUGUUUGUUUGUAGUUUGCCAUUUCAUAAAGGUAGUGGGAGAGGGGAUAAUCUAUAAGAAACACUGAGAAGAUAGUCUGACAAUCUUCAUGGUUCAGUAGUAAUAAAUGUAAAAUUACAGUCACUUUUCUCUCUCUCUCUCUCUCUCUCUCUCUCUCUCUCUCUCUCUCUCUCUCUCUCUCUCUCUCUCUCUCUCUCUUUCUCUCUCUCUCUUUCUCUCUCUCCCUCCCUUCCCCUUCUCUCUCAUUGUAUAAUACAAGAUAUUAAGUCUGGUGAAGAGGAUGGCAGUUAAAAGUAGGUUUAAUGGUGGCCAGGAAAUCUCAUUAGUUGCAGUUAAUGCCUCUGGUUUCAAUAACAAAGUCAAUAAUUCUACAUUUGAAUGUUCCUAACAGCCAUUGUUCACUCUCUAGUUCUAAAUGUCUCUUCUGUUGCUUAAGAUGUUUGGUUUUCUUUUAUCUAGUUCAGUUCAGUUCAAUUUAGUUUGGUUUGAAUUAGUAUUGACUAGUUGAGUCUUGUCUGGUCAUGUUUUAUUUAGUUUAGUUUAGAUUGACCUGAUCUUGUCUAUAGUAUGACAUGAUCUGGCCUAGUCUUGACUGAUUUUUUUUCUGAUUUAGUUUAAUUUGGUCUGGUCAGGUUCAGGGUGAUGAUUUAUCUUUUAUCUUCUAUCUUUUGCUUGUUUCGGUCAUUGGAAUAUGGCCAUGCUGGGGCACUGCCUUGAAGGGUUUAAUUAAACAAAUUGGCCCCAAUACUUAUUUUCAAGCUUGGUACUUAUUUUAUUGGUCUCUUUUGCUGAACCACUGAGUUAUAGGGACAUAAACAAACCAACUCCAAUUGUCAAGUAAUGAUGGGGGACAAACACAAACACACACAUGCAUACAUACAUACAUAACAUGCUUCUUUUGGUUUUCUUUUCAGUUGUCAAAUCUGCUCACAAGGCUUUGGUCAGCUCAGGGUUAUAAUAGAAGACACUUGUCGAAGGUGGGAUUGAACCCAAGACCAAAUGGUUGGAAAGCAAGCUUCUUAACCACAC
rnacentral:lncRNA from 1 species